CCUACGGGUGGCAGCAGUGAGGAAUAUUCGUCAAUGGACGAGAGUCUGAACUAGCCAAGUAGCGUGAAGGAUGCCUGCCCUAUGUGUUGGAACAUUUUUUUAUAUGGGAAUAAAACGUUCCACGUGUGGGAUUUUGUAUGUACCAUAUGUAUAAGGAACGGCUAACGUCGUGCCAGCCGCCGCGGUAAUACGGAGGGUCCGAGCGUUAUCCGGUUGUCUUGGGUGUAAAGGGCGCGUAGGUGGAUUGGUAAGUCAGUUGUGAAAGUGUGCGUAUCAACCGUAGAAUUGCAGUUGAAACUGGCUGUCUUGAGUACAGUAGAGGUGAGCGGAAUUCGUGGUGUAGCGGUGAAAUGCUUAGAUAUCACGAAGAACUCCGAUUGCGAAGGCAGUUCACUGGACUGCAACUGACACUGAGGCUCGAAAGUGUGGGUAUCAAACAGGAUUAGAUACCCUUGUAGUC
rnacentral:rRNA from 1 species